UACGUAGGUGGCGAGCGUUGUCCGGAUUUACUGGGCGUAAAGAGCGCGCAGGCGGUCGUGCAAGUCGCGUGUGAAAGCCCCCGGCUCAACUGGGGAGGGUCACGCGAUACUGCUCGACUCGAAGGCAGGAGAGGGAAGUGGAAUUCCCGGUGUAGUGGUGAAAUGCGUAGAUAUCGGGAGGAACAUCAGUGGCGAAGGCGACUUCCUGGCCUGUUCUUGACGCUGAGGCACGAAGGCUAGGGGAGCGAACGGG
rnacentral:rRNA from 1 species